AGUGAACGCUGGCGGUAGGCCUAACACAUGCCAGUCGAACGGCAGCACAGUAAGAGCUUGCUCUUACGGGUGGCGAGUGGCGGACGGGUGAGGAAUACAUCGGAAUCUACUUUUUCGUGGGGGAUAACGUAGGGAAACUUACGCUAAUACCGCAUACGACCUACGGGUGAAAGCAGGGGAUCUUCGGACCUUGCGCGAUUGAAUGAGCCGAUGUCGGAUUAGCUAGUUGGCGGGGUAAAGGCCCACCAAGGCGAGGAUCCGUAGCUGGUCUGAGAGGAUGAUCAGCCACACUGGAACUGAGACACGGUCCAGACUCCUACGGGAGGCAGCAGUGGGGAAUAUUGGACAGUGGGCGCAAGCCUGAUCCAGCCAUACCGCGUGGGUGAAGAAGGCCUUCGGGUUGUAAAGCCCUUUUGUUGGGAAAGAAAAGCAGCAGGUUAAUACCCCGCUGUUCUGACGGUACCCAAAGAAUAAGCACCGGCUAACUUCGUG
rnacentral:rRNA from 1 species